rnacentral:rRNA from 1 species
GACGUAGGGCGCGAGCGUUGUCCGGAUUUAUUGGGCGUAAAGAGCUCGUAGGCGGCUUGUCGCGCCGCCUGUGAAAACCCGCGGCUCAACUGUGGGCUUGCAGUCGAUACGGGCAGGCUGGAGUUCGGUAGGGGAGACUGGAAUUCCUGGUGUAGCGGUGAAAUGCGCAGAUAUCAGGAGGAACACCGGUGGCGAAGGCGGGUCUCUGGGCCGAUACUGACGCUGAGGAGCGAAAGCGUGGGGAGCGAACAGG